rnacentral:rRNA from 1 species
AGAGUUUGAUCCUGGCUCAGGAUGAACGCUAGCGGCAGGCCUAACACAUGCAAGUCGAGGGGCAUCGGGAUUGAAGCUUGCUUCAAUUGCCGGCGACCGGCGCACGGGUGCGUAACGCGUAUGUAACCUACCUAUAACAGGGGCAUAACACUGAGAAAUUGGUACUAAUUCCCCAUAAUAUUCGGAGAGGCAUCUCUCCGGGUUGAAAACUCCGGUGGUUAUAGAUGGACAUGCGUUGUAUUAGCUGGUUGGUGAGGUAACGGCUCACCAAGGCAACGAUACAUAGGGGGACUGAGAGGUUAACCCCCCACACUGGUACUGAGACACGGACCAGACUCCUACGGGAGGCAGCAGUGAGGAAUAUUGGUCAAUGGACGCAAGUCUGAACCAGCCAUGCCGCGUGCAGGAAGACGGCUCUAUGAGUUGUAAACUGCUUUUGUACGAGGGUAAACUCACCUACGUGUAGGUGACUGAAAGUAUCGUACGAAUAAGGAUCGGCUAACUCCGUGCCAGCAGCCGCGGUAAUACGGAGGAUUCAAGCGUUAUCCGGAUUUAUUGGGUUUAAAGGGUGCGUAGGCGGUUUGAUAAGUUAGAGGUGAAAUCCCGGGGCUUAACUCCGGAACUGCCUCUAAUACUGUUAGACUAGAGAGUAGUUGCGGUAGGCGGAAUGUAUGGUGUAGCGGUGAAAUGCUUAGAGAUCAUACAGAACACCGAUUGCGAAGGCAGCUUACCAAACUAUAUCUGACGUUGAGGCACGAAAGCGUGGGGAGCAAACAGGAUUAGAUACCCUGGUAGUCCACGCAGUAAACGAUGAUAACUCGUUGUCGGCGAUACACAGUCGGUGACUAAGCGAAAGCGAUAAGUUAUCCACCUGGGGAGUACGUUCGCAAGAAUGAAACUCAAAGGAAUUGACGGGGGCCCGCACAAGCGGAGGAACAUGUG